CAGAAAAUAGGAGAUUUUAACUCCCGUUUUGGGCUUUGAAGGCCCCUGGUUUCAUUUAUCCUAAAUUUCUU
rnacentral:tRNA from 1 species